rnacentral:rRNA from 1 species
GAUGAACGCUGGCGGCGUGCCUAAUACAUGCAAGUCGAGCGAAUGGGUUAAGAGCUUGCUCUUAUGAAGUUAGCGGCGGACGGGUGAGUAACACGUGGGUAACCCGCCCAUAAGACUGGGAUAACUCCGGGAAACCGGGGCUAAUACCGGAUAACAUUUUGAACCGCAUGGUUCGAAAUUGAAAGGCGGCUUCGGCUGUCACUUAUGGAUGGACCCGCGUCGCAUUAGCUAGUUGGUGAGGUAACGGCUCACCAAGGCAACGAUGCGUAGCCGAGCAGAGAGGGUGAUCGGCCACACUGGGACUGAGACACGGCACAGACGCCUACGGGAGGCAGCAGUAGGGAAUCUUCCGCAAUGGACGAAAGUCUGACGGAGCAACGCCGCGUGAGUGAUGAAGGCUUUCGGGUCGUAAAACUCUGUUGUUAGGGAAGAACAAGUGCUAGUUGAAUAAGCUGGCACCUUGACGGUACCUAACCAGAAAGCCACGGCUAACUACGUGCCAGCCGCCGCAGUAA